AUGGGUGCAAGACUGCUCUGCUGUGUAGCACUUUGUCUGCUUGGGGCAGGCUCUUUUGUUGCUGGAGUAACCCAGACUCCACGAUACCUGGUCAAAGAGAAAGGACAGAAAGCACACAUGAGUUGUAGUCCUGAAAAAGGGCACACUGCCUUUUACUGGUAUCAACAGAACCAGAAACAAGAACUUACAUUUUUGAUUAACUUUCGAAAUGAAGAAAUUAUGGAACAAACAGACUUGGUCAAGAAGAGAUUCUCAGCUAAGUGUUCCUCGAACUCACAGUGCAUCCUGGAAAUCCUAUCCUCUGAAGAAGACGACUCAGCACUGUAGCUCUGUGCCAGCAGUCUGUA